UUUAACUCCUAAGAUGGUUCAAGUGUUACUUUGCACACAAGAUUGGCUUAGAGCUAAGGAAGUGCCAAUUGUUGAUGUGGAAGAAAAUUUGAAAGAGUUAGAGGAAAUAGAGAAAGAGGUGCAACGUGGUGAAUCUAACGAUGUAGACGAUGAAGUUGUUUUCGUGGACUCAUUAGUGUGAAUCACGCGAUCAAAGGGAAAACAACUCGUUGGAGAAUUUAUGUAUUCCUAGUACUUGAGAGUUGAGAGUUGAGACUUAAGAGAAUUUAUGUAAUUUUAUGAGUUUUCGUGGACUUAUUUGUAUUUUCGGUGGACUCAUUUGUAUUUUUGGUGUUUGAGAAUC